rnacentral:lncRNA from 1 species
CAUAAGAAGCCGAAUGAGGAAGACAAACAUAAAGAUGAAGUGCUUAAUUCAAGGUCACACAAUGUCGGGGAUGGACCUCCAGAUUUCCUUACUGGAAAACAAGCUCAGGGCUCCCACUGAUUGUACAUUAUGGUGAGACGUGGUCUUGUAACACAGUGGUUAAGAAUGUGACUUUGGAGCCAGCCUGCUAGGGGCUGAAUUCUGACUCAGCCAUUUACUAACUGUGUGACCUUAGGUGGAGUCUCACUCUGUAGCCCAAGCUGGAGUGGCGUGAUCUCGACUCACUGCAACCUCCGCCUCCUGGGAUCAAGUGAUUCUCGUGCCUCAGCCUCCUGAGUAGCCGGGACUACAGGUCACAGAAUUUUCCACACUCCUUGACAGAGGUGCUUAACCCUUAUCCAUCAGCAUUCUCAGACAGCACCUCCGGUUAGGGACAGUAUCUGACCGUCCGACAUCCCUGCAGCCCCCAUGUGUCACACAGACUCAGCCUCAGGUAGAUGGUUUCCGUAGAUGGUGGCUUUCUUUGGACCCUUGACAUCAACCAGUUACUAUUUGGGGACCAGAUGUGCAGAGGUAAUGAAUACCAGGGAAUC